GGCGGUGUGCAUACGUUGCGGGCCACACCUGUUCCCAUCCCGAACACAGAAGUUAAGCCGCAACGGCCAAUGGUACUGCCUAAGCGGGAGANGCGGGAGAGUAGGUGAAUGCCGCCU
rnacentral:rRNA from 1 species